UAAGGAAUAUUGGUCAAUGGAGGCAACUCUGAACCAGCCAUGCCGCGUGCAGGAAGAAGGCCCUAUGGGUCGUAAACUGCUUUUGUACCAGAGAAAACCAUAGUACGUGUACUGUGUUGAUAGUAUGGUAAGAAUAAGCAUCGGCUAACUUCGUGCCAGCAGCCGCGGUAAGACGAAGGAUGCAAGCGUUAUCCGGAUUCAUUGGGUUUAAAGGGUGCGUAGGCGGACUUGUAAGUCAGUGGUGAAAUCUCUCAGCUUAACUGAGAAACUGCCAUUGAUACUGCAGGUCUAGAGUAUAGAUGACGUUGGCGGAAUAUGACAUGUAGUGGUGAAAUACUUAGAUAUGUCAUAGAACACCGAUUGCGAAGGCAGCUAACGAAACUAUAACUGACGCUGAGGCACGAAAGUGCGGGGAUCAAACA
rnacentral:rRNA from 1 species